CCCCUCGAUCCUAGUUCUUAUGGAGAUUGAGGGCCAGAGGUACCUACAAUGACCAAAGCCAAUGAAGGCCCCUUUGGAUAAGAGGAGUAAGAGAAAAUACUGUUGCUUUCACCGCAACCAUAGCUAUAAUAUCAAUGAAUGCCGCUAGCUCAAGGACGAAAUCGAGGCCUUAGUUCAAAUAGGUUACCUCAGCAAGUAUGUUUGUGAGCAACUGAAUCAAGCAUCCACUAAGGAAACCAGUA
rnacentral:lncRNA from 1 species